UAAAAUUGAGAAUGGAAAUGGGGAAUGUGUCAAACAGACAACAACCCGCCCAAAUAAAAAACAACAGCAGAGGGUCACCAACAGGUCUUUAAUGUAGCGAGAAAUUCCCGCACCCGGAGGCGUCCUUCAGCUGGCCCCUAAACAAAUAUAUACUAGUCCAGUGAUAAUGAACGCCAUACUAAUUUCCAAAUUGUACACAAGAAACUAAAAUUAAAAUAAUACAAGACUAACAAAGGCCAG
rnacentral:lncRNA from 1 species